AAGUCGUAACAAGGUUUCCGUAGGUGAACCUGCGGAAGGAUCAUUUCCGAAAUCUUUUCUCUUCUUUUUGGCCUUCGGGUUAAGAGAAAGAGGAAAAAUUAAAGAGAUUGUGUGGUAUCAAAGCAAAAGAAGCAUUAAGGAGUUAGGGGUUUUUAAGAUCUCUCUCUCUUUAAACUUCUUUCAUUUCAAACUUUGAAACAAACAUGACUACUUUUUAAUUAAAACCAAUUUAAUUAGAGUUUAUUUUUAAAGGCUUAAAACCCCUUUCUUUUAAAUUCUGAUCAAAAUUAUAAAACAAUACACAACUGUCAACGGUGGAUCUCUUGGCUCGU
rnacentral:misc_RNA from 1 species